GUUAAUGUUUCAUAUUCUCCACCUUCACCACAGACAUUUAUUCCAUAUAACUCUUUUAGCUUGUGGAGAUGGGGCUCCAGGUAUGCUAUCUCUUUUCCCAAGUGUUUUGAGGGGUUCAGUCCAAUAGCAGCAACCUUCACUGCUAUUGCAAUAAUUCCAUUUUUUAUCAUUUCCUGCAGAAGAAAAGAUUGAUCUUGCUUCCAUAGGUACGCCAAUGAAAC
rnacentral:misc_RNA from 1 species